UAGGCAGAAGUCAGUAGGUUUGGGCAUUUAGCUGUUAACUAAAAUUUUACGGGAUCGAAGCCCGUCUGCCUAG
rnacentral:tRNA from 1 species